AUUGAACGCUGGCGGCAGGCCUAACACAUGCAAGUCGAGCGAGCGGCGGACGGGUGAGUAAUGUAUGGGGACUGCCCGAUAGAGUGGGAUAACUACUGGAAACGGUAGCUAAUACCGCAUACUAUCGGAUAACCCAUAUGGGAUUAGCUAGUAGGUGAGGUAAUGGCUCACCUAGGCGACGAUCCCUAGCUGGUCUGAGAGGAUGAUCAGCCACACUGGGACUGAGACAAGGCCCAGACUCCUACGGAGGCAGCAGUGGGGAAUAUUGCACAAGGGGCGCAAGCCUGAUGCAGCCAUGCCGCGUGUAUGAAGAAGGCCCGAGGGUUGUAAAGGAAUUUUGGCAGAGAAGCGGUAUCUGCAGAAUAAGCACCGGCUAACUACGUGCCAGCAGCCGCGGUAAUUC
rnacentral:rRNA from 1 species